rnacentral:lncRNA from 1 species
CAUGGAGGCAAGUGAAUGCGCAACAAGGGAUCUCUAACCUUCAAACCGUUUAGGGGAGAAUACUCUAUGAUAUGAUUAAGAAUCUCUGGCCAGUGUAUGAAUGAGAUUUAGGAAGUCGUUCCAAAUCACAUUCUAGGUAAUCAUAUAAGCACAUUAAUCACAUUGGAUAGUAGACAUGAAUAAACUAUCAAACCAAACAAUGUGGUCAAGAGUAUUGUAUUAGAGAAAGACCGUAUUGCAUUCGUAAUCCUAAACUGAAUAGGUUCUCCACCUCUUCUGAUUAGCUUGG